AACGAACGCUGGCGGCAGGCCUAACACAUGCAAGUCGAACGAGAAGCCACCUUCGGGUGGUGGAUAGUGGCAGACGGGUGAGUAACGCGUGGGAACGUGCCUUUCGGUUCGGGAUAACCCAGGGAAACUUGGGCUAAUACCGGAUACGCCCUCCGGGGGAAAGAUUCAUUGCCGAAAGAUCGGCCCGCGUCGGAUUAGCUUGUUGGUGGGGUAAUGGCCUACCAAGGCGACGAUCCGUAGCUGGUCUGAGAGGAUGACCAGCCACACUGGGACUGAGACACGGCCCAGACUCCUACGGGAGGCAGCAGUGGGGAAUAUUGGACAAUGGGCGCAAGCCUGAUCCAGCCAUGCCGCGUGGGUGAAGAAGGCCCUAGGGUUGUAAACCCCUUUCAGCGGGGAAGAUAAUGACGGUACCCGCAGAAGAAGCCCCGGCUAACUCCGUGCCAGCCGCCGCCGUAAGAC
rnacentral:rRNA from 1 species